rnacentral:rRNA from 1 species
CGUGUAGGCGGUCAAGUAAGUGGGAUGUGAAAUGCCCCGGCUCACCCGGGGACCGGCAUCCCAUACUGCUUGGCUUGAGUACGGGAGAGGAUGUGGGAAUUCCUGGUGUAGCGGUGAAAUGCGUAGAUAUCAGGAGGAACACCGGUGGCGAAGGCGCACAUCUGGCCCGAUACUGACGCUGAUAGCGCGAAAGCUAGGGGAGCAAACGGGAUUAGAUACCCCGGUAGUCCUAGCCGUAAACGGUGAGCACUAGGUGUUGGAGGCAUCGACCCCUCCAGUGCCGCAGCUAACGCAUUAAGUGCUCCGCCUGGGGAGUACGGCCGCAAGGUUGAA